rfam:Ictidomys tridecemlineatus contig000745, whole genome shotgun sequence.
GGGAGUCUAGCUCAGUGGUAGAGCUCUUGCCUAGCACGUGAGAAGCCCUGGAUUUAAUUCCUAGUAUUCUCC